rfam:Streptococcus sp. DD13 genomic scaffold scaffold00001, whole genome shotgun sequence.
AAGGUUUGAAAAAACUGACCUAAGACAGUAGGGGAGCUGGACUCGUAAACAUCCUACCGAGGACAAAAACCAUAUCAUUAUGCGUAUUUUGUACUUUCGUGUCUAGGUUUGGCGCGUUUUUUUAUUAAAACA